rnacentral:tRNA from 1 species
AAGGCUUUAGCUUAAUUAAAGUGUCUGUUUUGCAUGCAGAAGAUGUGGGUUAGUGUCCUACAAGUCUUA